rnacentral:lncRNA from 1 species
GCCUCCCAUUAAGUUGGAUGAUAAUGAGUCCAAUAGUUUAGAUGAUCAUUGGAGGUGCCACAUGCCUGAUGCUCAUCUGGCUGUCGGAAUUAUCAUUCAUAAUAUAUUGUUUUAGUUGUGUCUUUCUGAUGAUGGUCAGGUUGGUCGAGCCACACUCGAGCCUGAUCACUCAUUUGUUAGAUACACAAAAUUCUGACAUGUUAAUGGUUGGACCUA